rnacentral:rRNA from 1 species
CCUACGGGGUGCAGCAGUGAGGAAUAUUGGUCAAUGGGCGAGAGCCUGAACCAGCCAAGUCGCGUGAGGGAGUACUGCCCUAUGGGUUGUAAACCUCUUUUGUCGGGGAGCAAAAGCCGGACGUGUCCGGCUGUGAGAGUACCCGAAGAAAAAGCAUCGGCUAACUCCGUGCCAGCAGCCGCGGUAAUACGGAGGAGGCGCGAGUUAGCCGGUUUUUUGGGGUUUAAAGGGGGCGCAGGCGGAUUUUUAAGUUAGCGGUAAAAGCGUGGGGCUCAACCCCAUCCAGCCGUUGAAACUGGGGAUCUAGAGAGGGCGAGAGGUAUGCGGAAUGCGUGGUGUAGCGGUGAAAUGCAUAGAGAUCACGCAGAACCCCGAUUGCGAAGGCAGCAUACCGGUGCACAACUGACGCUCAGGCACGAAAGCGUGGGUAUCGAACAGGAUUAGAUACCCGUGUAGUC